rnacentral:rRNA from 1 species
GAUGAACGCUGGCGGCGUGCCUAAUACAUGCAAGUCGAGCGAACGGACGAGAAGCUUGCUUCUCUGAUGUUAGCGGCGGACGGGUGAGUAACACGUGGAUAACCUACCUAUAAGACUGGAUAACUUCGGGAAACCGGAGCUAAUACCGGAUGAUAUUUUGAACCGCAUGGUUCAAAAGUGAAAGACGGUCUUGCUGUCACUUAUAGAUGGAUCCGCGCUGCAUUAGCUAGUUGGUAAGGUAACGGCUUACCAAGGCAACGAUGCAUAGCCGACCUGAGAGGGUGAUCGGCCACACUGGAACUGAGACACGGUCCAGACUCCUACGGGAGGCAGCAGUAGGGAAUCUUCCGCAAUGGGCGAAAGCCUGACGGAGCAACGCCGCGUGAGGGAUGAAGGUCUUCGGAUCGUAAAACUCUGUUAUUAGGGAAGAACAUAUGUGUAAGUAACUGUGCACAUCUUGACGGUACCUAAUCAGAAAGCCACGGCUAACUACGUG